UUGGUACUCCCUCCAUCCCAAAAUUCUUGUCUUAGAUUUGUCUAGAUACGGAUGUACCUAGUUAGGUACAUCCGUAUCUAGACAAAUCUAAGACAAGAAUUUUGGGACGGAAGGAGUAAAAA
rfam:Triticum aestivum genome assembly, contig: Triticum_aestivum_CS42_TGACv1_scaffold_569719_7AS